rnacentral:rRNA from 1 species
UACGUAGGGGCCUAGCGUUGUCCGGAUUUAUUGGGCGUAAAGAGCGCGUAGGCGGUUCGGCAAGUCGGAUGUGAAAUCUCCACGCUUAACGUGGAGGGGCCAUUCGAAACUGCCGUGACUCGAGUCCGGUAGGGGAGUGUGGAAUUCCCGGUGUAGCGGUGAAAUGCGCAGAUAUCAGGAGGAACACCGAUGGCGAAGGCAGGUCUCUGGGCCGCUACUGACGCUGAGAAGCGAAAGCAUGGGGAGCGAACAGG